UGUGCAGGCGGUUUGUUAAGUCGGGUGUGAAAGCCCUUGGCUCAACCAAGGAAGUGCAUUCGAAACUGGCGAACUUGAGUACGGAAGAGGAGAGCGGAAUUCCCAGUGUAGAGGUGAAAUUCGUUGAUAUUGGGAGGAACACCGGUGGCGAAAGCGGCUCUCUGGUCCAGUACUGACGCUGAGACACGAUAGCGUGGGGAGCAAACA
rnacentral:rRNA from 1 species